GGGAGGAGCUCUCGGCCCUGGCCGCGAUUUUCUGCGGGCCCCACGAGUGGGAGGUGCUGAGCCGCUCAGGUGACUACCCCCGCGCGCGAGAGACAGGGCGCCCUCAGGGGCCGCCCGCGUUGUCUCUGCGGCUCCUCCCCACCGCCGAGCCUGGGCACCCCGCCUGGGCUCACGUUUGGGGACCGGAUUAGUUGAAUGAUGGCGUGACAGGCCCUGGAGGCCGGAGUGGUGUCGCAGCGGGCGGGAGUGUGAGGAGACCCCGGAAACCCGGAAAGAGCGGCGCCGCCCCCGGGGGCCCCCGUCGCGGGUCGUGCCCGGAGCCGCCGGCCUCUGCGCUGCGCGGCCCCAGGCCCUGCCAGCCUCCCGCCCUUCGGAUCUCAGCCUGGAAAGAAGCCUGUGCCGACGCCCCUCGGCGUUCUGGGUCCUUCCUAAGCGCUGUGCCCUGGGCCCUCGAGAGCACUCCCCCGUUGUGACCCUUCAUGGGUAUUUGGACAUCUUAAGUUGCACGAGGGCAACGACCCUGUCUGUUUGGUAAUAACUCCAGGCACCUAGAACGGUGCCGGCCAGGCACAUGAGACAGAUGGGACCGUGUUCAGAAUUCACACAAAAGCUGAAGGAUUGAUGGAUGCAGAUAUACCUCUGGAACUGGUGUUCCAUUUGCCAGUCAAUUAUCCUUCAUGUGUACCUGGUAUCUCGGUUAACUCUGAACAGUUGACCAGGGCCCAGUGUGUGACUGUGAAAGAUAAGUUACUUGAGCAAGCAGAGAGCCUUUUGUCAGAGCCUAUGGUUCAUGAGCUGGUUCUUUGGAUUCAGCAGAAUCUCAGGCAUAUCCUCAACCAACCGGAAACUGGAAGUGGCAAUGCAAAAUGUACUUUUUCAACAAGCACGACCGUGGAUGAUGGAUUGUGGAUAACUCUUUUGCAUUUAGAUCACAUGAGAGCAAAGACUAAAUAUGUCAAAACUGUGGAGAAGUGGGCUUCAGAUUUAAGGCUGACAGGAAGACUGAUGUUCAUGGGUAAAAUGAUACUGAUUUUACUACAAGGAGACAGAAACAACCUCAAGGAGUACCUGAUUCUUCAGAAAACCUCCAAAGUAGAUGUGGACUCAAGUGGAAAGAAAUGCAAAGAGAAAAUGAUUAGUGUACUGUUUGAAACAAAAGUACAGACAGAACACAAAAGGUUUCUGGCAUUUGAAGUCAAAGAGUAUUCAGCGUUGGAUGAAUUACAAAAGGAAUUUGAAACUGCAGGACUUCAGAAGCUUUUCUCCGAAUUUGUAGUUGCGCUGAGCCACUCCAGAUUGGAGUGGAAAUUGCUACAGCAUAUUUUGAAGAACCACCCAUAAACCAAGAACUGAAAUCUUUCUUCCAUGGUUAUCAAGUUAUGGGAACUACCCAUAAGAUCCUCAGUGUGGACAGAGGAAGAGGAAGCUACGUGGAAGGAGUAGCUACUAUAGAGAGAACAGACUUGUUUGUCAAGAACAAACACACAGAGCUGAGAGAUCAGGAAAUGGUGGGACCAGGGAGCCAGCCUCUGCUUUGCUUAACACGAUUGGAAGGAGUGACUCCAACAGCCAGUCACCAGGAGGCGUCUCAGUGUCUGGGGAGAAUUCGUGUGAACUGUCAGCUGAAAGCAUUGACAGCUUCCCAUUAGUAAUGAAUUAUGGAAAUAAUUUUAUUAAUUUCUUCACCUCAAUCAGUACAUGUUAGUGAAAGUUGCUCAACCAAACAUCAAAGAACCAUUGCAUUUUAACCUUUUAGUCUUUUACCAUGUAACCAGGAACAGCAAAGAAAUAAAUUAGUGUAGCAUUCCUUAAAAAAAAAAAUGCCUGGAGAUAAGGAGUGGACAUAAUUUUUUCUGUUUUUAAUUUAAUAGCACGUUUAUGGUUUUAUGCAAAACCAUUCACAUUACAUUUGACCCUCUGGGAGCUGCUUUUUUUGUGUGGAUAUAAUUUUGAGUCUUUAAUAAUCCGUUGUUAAACCCAGUCUGAGUUUGAUUAAUGAAUUGUGAUGAACCAGUGCAUUAAUUUGCAGGUUUGGUCUAAUGCCCUAAAAGGCUGCUUUGUUGCACGUUAUUAAUGCUCAACUCUUCAAGAGGAGCCAUGGGGUGGCGGCAGUGUGUCCCGUAAUGAACAAGCGACACGAUUGAACAGUCCCAGUGAUAGAGCUGUAGCUCUAGAAGUCACCAUGGAGCUAUGUUAUUGAAAGAAAGAAAAUCCUGAUUUAGCUUAAUGCCCUAAACAGGGGGCCACAGACCUCCAGCUCCACAGGUCUCCGGAUGGAAUUCAGGGGGAAUCUGUGAAUUUUGAUAGGAAAAAUAUCUUUUAUUAACCUCUAACUGAAAUUUAACAUCAUUCAAUUAUGAAUGUAGGUGACAACCAUAGUAUUCUUAGCUGUGUCUGUGACUUUGUCAUCUCUGGAAAUCACAGAUAUUUCCAUAACACAUUAUAGAGGUGCAAGUACUUCACCAUGUCAUUUGUAUUUGCUGCUACCUCAGAAUUAUAGUAAAUAUGAGGACAGCUGCCUGACUUAUUUAAUGUAAUAAAGAAGUACAUAUAUUA